AUGCAGAGACUAACAGCGGCAGGAAGCCCCUUGUCCACCAGGGAAGGAGAAACAACAGGAAAUGUCACAGCUCGGAAUCCAGGAGUGCAACCACGGAGGCCAUGGUAUCUCAGGGGUCUCUGUCAUCGGGCACCCAGGUGCCACGUGUGUUGCUCCACUCCCCACCUCUCGUCUCUCCAGGGUGCAGCAGCCCUUCUGAGAUGGAAGCAAGCCCUGGGACCAACAGCACAACGGCAUAGGACAUGUUCCUCCUGGAGCGUUUAUUGUCUGGGACUUGGCAUGAUACACUGGCCAGGCCUGAAAACCAGAAAGCCACCUGGACCCCUGGAGCCCUCCCCCAGCCCUGACCUCAGAACCACAGGAGGGGCAGCAGCACCCCUCUGCAUCCGCUCUAUGGAAGGGCCUUCAUCCACCUCCAAGAAACUGGUACCUGCUGGCUCUGGCUCUCUCUGCUGCGGUGAUGAGUGUGUGAGCCCAGGGCGCAGGUGACGUCUUCUGGAUACUGGCACACAACGGGAAGCAGCCAGGGUGAGGCCUGUGGGCUUUCUGCUGGGGGAGGGCCCUUACCUCUCAGAAACGUGGGGCUAAGACCACGAGGACCACCUACUGGGUCUGGGGCUGGCACUCCUCCAGGGUCCUGCAAGAGAGAAGAUCCCAGGAGGGCAGUUUUCACAGCCUGUCCUACCUACCACUCAGUGCCUGAGCAACAAGCGGGCCGGGCAGAGGGGCCCAAGGACCCAGUCAGGAGGGGGUGCUGGGCUUGCCAUCUCAGGCUUGGGUCUGGGGUCUGUGUCUUCAGAGGGUUUCAGGGGACUAGGCUGCUCUUGCACUGGCCAGAGACCUGGGGAUCAGGGUGCCCAGCCCCUCUGGCUCACCUCUCUCCUGAGACCUCUGGCCUGCUCUGCAGAUGGCGUGGGGCAAGCCCCAGGACAGUCAUCUCCACUCCUGCUAUCGCAGAAGUGAUCUUGGUGGUGGCCACAUGUGAUACCCUCUGUGCUGAAGCACAUCUGCCUGGAAUAAGGGCGUGCAU
rnacentral:lncRNA from 1 species